CUCUCUCUCUCUCUCUCUCUCUCUCUCUCUCUCUCUCUAAGAUCCUUCGCCGUUCGUCGUCCGUUUCCAAAAACGGAGGGUACUGCGUGAAUCAGAAGAGGAAACUCUACACUUUUAGUGGAUCGGAUCGUCGUUUCGGAGAGUUUCGAGUUUUCCCAAGAAUCGAGGUUUUCGGGAUCUCAGGUUGUCGAUUUGGACCAUUUUCAUACGAACUUUCAUUUUGAGUAUAAGGUAAGGAGAAUUUGAUUACGACAACUAUUUUGGAAAACUAAACCGCUAAAAAGCUAGUUUAUGUUAUUAUCUAUGAUUUAACUGCUUAUUUGUGAAAUUCUACCGAGCAGAGAUGCCGGUUUGACGAUUUUACGGUUUUUGGUAAAAACGAAGUUUUCGACGCGUAAUCUCCAAAAUUUUACAAACAUCGUUUAUUUGUGUUUAUACUAUAGUAGGAGAGGCUCGAAUCCUUUAUUUAUUCAGUUAAACUAUGUAUAUUGAAUUUCUAUCAUAUAGCGGGUUUUUGUAUUAAACUUGUGUGAUAUAUGUUGAUAUGAGAAUGAAUGGAUUUUCUAUACUAUUGAUAUAGAAUAUGGGAACGAAGUUCCAAAUUUGCUAUACUGAUAAUGUGAAUAAACAGAGGCUGGUGAUAAACCGAACCGCAUCAGUAAACAAAGAAGGGUAAACUAAGUGGAAAGACACCGAUUUGAAUCCAAUGUUAUUAUAUGAAUUUGUGAAAAAUACUGGAAAUGCGCAGGUUAUCGUAUUUGUAUAAAUUGAAUUUAUGAUACACGGAACCACAACUUGAGAGUCCCGAGAGGGUUGAAAAAUACUUUCUUUGCAGGGUGAAAUGAAACCACUGUUAUAUGAUACGGCACGAUAUCGUAGCUAGAUGUACACGUGCAACCACACGUAUUAAAUGAUGUGGGUACCAAGAUAGUCGGCUAGCAGGGUGAAACCAUUGGCUGAUAUUGGGCCAAUGGGGGCAGUUGGAUCGUAUGUAGGUACUCGGCAGUGUCGCACGAACAGGGCAUUGAACGAAUACCAGUGCACAACCUGAGCCACGGGGUAAAACUGGUUAUAAGGAUAUUUUGCUGUUGGUCAUCUGAUAAAUCAUUAAAUGGUCAAAAGACAGAUGUGAGAAUUUUGUAAUAUGAAUAAUGAUAUACCUGAUGCAUUACUGUAUUGAAAAUAUUUGAUUUAUAUUCCAUAUGUUGAAUGAAAAUAUGCAUGUAUACAGUCACACACUGUUGUAACUCCUUCUUCCUUAUUGAGAGGUGUCUCAUCCUAUCUUACAACCUUUGUUUUCAGGUCCGUCCGUGUGUCGGUCCUAGUAGAUAAAGGGACUGGGGAGGUUAUUUUGGUUAGCUUACGUAAGCAUCUAAAUUUUUGUACUAAACUUGAUGAAAGUCCUUUUUGGAGGGUUGUAAUAUGACGAUUACUCUAAGUCCGAAUGUAUGUAAAUUAUGGAUGUAUUAGUGAACUCUAGUAUAAGGCUAGUAGUAAUCCCAAUGGAUAUUUAUGUUUUUCCGCGACAUUUACAUUAUGAUUAUGUAUGAUUUACACCCGUAUGUCCCUGUUUAGGGCGGGUUGUUUCCAUAUCUUGAAUAGGUAUAGGUAUUUGAUGUAUGUGAGUGACACCUGAGUCCAUGUAAAGGGUCGAGUCGUUACAAAUGCGAUGAUGUUGAUUUGACAAUUAAUAGUAUGAAAUAUCCAUGUAUCACAAUUUGAUUAUAUGCUAUAUGUUAUCAAAACUUGGUUGACUUGGUUUAGGCUAGCACUUGCACGGUACCGCUGCUAUGUGUUUGUGAUCAUCAUGAUAUUGUGUUAACGCUACUGUACGGAGUAGCGUGAGGACGAAUAGUCGAUGUGGUUUUAAGAAGUGUGAGUGCCCUUGGUGUACGAACCAGGUCUGACAGACCCAUCAGACUUACAGACUAUACUUUUGACUUGGCAGUGGUCGGCCAACCAUUGUCAGGUCUCGCCUUUGGGUCACACAACCCAGUUAUGUAGGGGUAAUACAUGACAACAGCCAACUAACCUACCAAGGUUGUUUUCAUAUUAUUAUCAUAUGAGAUGAAUUAUGUUUAUGAAAAUGAAGUAUGUUUUGCCAUGUUAUGAUGAUAUAUGUUUUCCAAGAUAUGAUAUAACAGUUUACUAAAUAUGUGUAUAUAUGAUUUUAUGUAUAACGCGAAGAACUCAUGUUACCACACACUAGUUUUAGUUUAUUUCUUUUACUGAGAGGUGUCUCACCCCAAAAUUUCAUAAACAUUUUAGGAGCCCCCGGAUAGAAGAGUGGAUAAAGCUUCGCUGAGAUAGAUACAAUUGACCUGCCCUUUCUGAAGGGUAAGUACUCAGAUAGGGUCAGAUGAAUUUUAUGAAAAGUGACCCUAGGUCUCUUUUGGGUUGUGUAUUAUGUAUAUAUAAAUACAAUGGAUGUAGUAACUCUGGUAUUGUGAUGAGUGAUGAUGGGUAUAUGAUAUUUUACGAUUUUAUGUUUCCUGCUGCUUAGGCUUCCGUAUUGUACUUAUGAUGUAUUUCUGUACCUACGAGUUCAGGUUAAUUAUGAUCUGCUGAAUUUGUUAAUGUGGUUUUUAUUAUAUUAUGGAAAAAAAUAAUAAGGAAAUUAAGCAGGUCAAUACAUGAGAGGUGUAGGGUGGUUUCAUCAUAUUGGAUUGCAUAAGGAUGAAGUACCUUCCCUGGGGUCUGGAGCAGGAAGUAGUCAGGCAAUCAAACCUGCAACUGGGUUAUGGAUGUCUGUAGACGCACUUGCAGAUGGUUACUUUGACCGUGUUUGGGUUGAUCCUCCAGGGCAUAAGUCCAGCCUUCAGGCCACACAAACCGUACCACGGGGGAAGACCAUCUUGAGAUCGAGCUUAGCAAGCUUCGGGGCGGGGUGAUAGUUAGUUUCUGUUUGUGAGUGUCUGUGAGAACUCUAAUGUAUUUAAGUUAUGUUUGAAAGUCCCUAGAUAUGUAAUAUGGUUGUAUGGACUGACUUAGUUUUCUUCUUUUGGUUGGGAUGCAAUAUGGAUAAUGGGAAAUUUCUAUAUAUGUUAGCAGUUUAGAA